GACGAACGCUGGCGGCGUGCUUAACACAUGCAAGUCGAACGGAAAGGCCCUGCUUUUGUGGGGUGCUCGAGUGGCGAACGGGUGAGUAACACGUGAGUAACCUGCCCUUGACUUUGGGAUAACUUCAGGAAACUGGGGCUAAUACCGGAUAGGAGCUCCUGCUGCAUGGUGGGGGUUGGAAAGUUUCGGCGGGUGGGGAUGGACUCGCGGCUUAUCAGCUUGUUGGUGGGGUAGUGGCUUACCAAGGCUUUGACGGGUAGCCGGCCUGAGAGGGUGACCGGCCACAUGGGGACUGAGAGAGGGACCAGACGCGAACGGGAGGCAGUAGUGGGGAACAUUGCACAAUGGGCGGAAGCCUGAUGCAGCAACGCCGCGUGCGGGAUGACGGCCUUCUGGUUGUAAACCGCUGUCGCCUGUGACGAAGCGUGAGUGACGGUAAUGGGUAAAGAAGCACCGGCUAACUACGUG
rnacentral:rRNA from 1 species